ACCUGCCCAUUGGAAUCUAAAAGGCCGCGGUAUUAUGACCGUGCUAAGGUAGCAUAAUCAUUAGUCUUUUAAUUGGAGGCUGGUAUGAAUGGUUGGACAAGAAAUAAGCUGUCUUAAAUAAAAAUAUUGAAUUUAACUUUUAAGUGAAAAGGCUUAAAUUUUCUAAUGGGACGAUAAGACCCUAUAAAACUUUAUAUUUUAAAAUAAUAAUUAAUUUUUUAUAUAGAAGAUUUAUUUUUAAAUAUUUUAUUGGGGUGAUAAAGAUAAAAUGUGAGAUAACUGUCUUUUUUUUUUACAAUUAAUAUUUGAGUAAAAGAUCUUAACAAAGGAAAUAAGAGAUUAAGUUACUUUAGGGAUAACAGCGUAAUUUUCUUUAAGAGUUCUUAUCGACAAGAAAGUUUGCGACCUCGAUGUUGAAUUAAAAGUUCUUUAUAGAGUAGAUAUUAUAAUAGAGGGUCUGUUCGACCCUUAAAAUUUUACGUG
rnacentral:rRNA from 1 species